UCUUGGGGGAUCGAAAAGAUUGAGAGCUGUUCUGGUUUCCGGUUUUUAAAAACUAUGUUUAUCUAAUUGAAAGGUGGAGGGGCGGAGAGAAAGCCAGAGAGGUCCUCCAUCCUCUGGUUCAUUCCCCAAAUACCUGGAACAGCAGGGCUGGGCUAGGCAGAAGCCAGGAGCCUGGAACUCCAGCUGGGCCUCCCAUGGAAAUACAAAGAACCCCAGCACUUGGGCCCACUCCCACCCUCCCACCGCCUCCUAGACUGUGCAAUAGCAGGAAGCUGGAUCAGGAACAGAGCUGGGAUGCCACCCCAGAGAUUCCGUUACAGGAUGUGGGCAUCCUAAACCAAGCCUUGACCUCCCUGCCGGAUGUUUUGACCUCUCUGGUUUGCCUGCCCUUUUUACAGGCAGUAGCCGGGACUUGGAGAUCCCUUGCCUCUGAGGGUUUGGCUGUGAGAUCAGAGCAGAAAGCCCAAAUUUCUUUAGGACAUGAGAGAGCUUAAGAGACAGCAUGGUGAGCCCCGCUCCCAGAGUCUCCGAUUCCAGUCUGGGGCAGAGUCCGGGAAUGAGCAUUUUAACUGUAAAUGUCCCCUUUAACACUGGCGCUGCUGCCUGGGCCCUGCACACUGAGAACUGCUGCGUUCAGAUAACCUGCGAAUGUCCCUUCUCUCUCAGCAGCUGACACCUGAGUCAUGGACAGGGCUGAGCUGGAGAGUGUCUGUGUGCGCUGGGGACAGAUGAAUGCCUUUGUUCGGAGAACAGCGAAGCUGUUGGAAGGGUCACUCUCAGGGCCGGCAUCAGGACACCCUCAGCUGAGCGCAGAUUCUUCCCAGGGAUAUUCUGCGAAUGUGCAGGAAGUAGCAGAAAGUGAAACCCUUUAUUUCCUCACUCGCAAGCCUCCCAUGUCCUGUGCCCUAGGCAUGCUGUGCCGGUGCUGCCCUGGUGGAGCAGCGUGUUGGAGCAGCUCAGAAUGCCGUCAUGGAUGACAGCACAUGUCUCAGAAAGCCACCUACUGAGAACUGGCCUGGAAGACUUUGGAAUGAAGACAGAUACACGCACAGGGAACAUUACCUCUGAAAGAUUCCCUGGUCCGGUACCCCUUUGGCAUUCACUUUUAGUUAUUAUGUUUACCUAUACAGCUUAUGUAAGUCUGGUCAUUGUUGUAUCUCUGUUUUCUCUGUUACUGUUGGAAGGUGGGGCCUUUAUCUCUGACCUCUGUGUUCAUACCUAACCGUGCAGUGUGAGCUAUGUGCAUUUAAGAAGUACUCUUACUUUCUCCCUGGUUAAUAUCCUUCCCUUUUGUGCUAUAAGUAGAGAGGGGCAAGAGAAGAUGAAUUGCUUGCCCUCUUAUCAGUCAGGAUUCAAUCAGAAAGCAGAAAUCAUCCUGGAUUGUUUUGGUUAGAGAGAGUAGAUGGAGGAAUUGAAGUUCAGACAACGGUGAGAAGUGCUGGGUAAGUAAAGGUCGGAAAGUUGCUUUUAAGAUGUCUGGAAAUGCACAGAUCUCCAAGGAAAUCGCACCUGCUAGUGUGUACAAGUUGCCCCCAGUGGGUGUUUCUCAGGAGCACUCCAGGAAGCCAAAGAUCUGAGUAACCGGUAAUUAGCAACAAAGCAAAAACUGCUUUUUCUUCUAUGUGCCUGGAACAGCUCAGGGGAUGCUUCUCACGGGCCAAGUCUAACUUGGAGACAUACGGGGAACAAACUGGGAAAUAAGGCUGCUGGUUUUCCUCUGAGAUUCAGAGAAGAAUGAAGCAUGGGUAUCACAAGGAGGCCAAUCUGUCAACAGACUGUCUCCCAGAGGCCCUGUCCCUCUCCGUUGUAUUAACAGAAAAUAAAACCAAAGAGCUAGUGGCAAAUGACUAUCUCUAUGUCCAGGAGAAGAUCACUCUGGCAAAAAGCAUUUGAUAUUCAGUUAAUUAGUGGAGUGUCUGCUAUGCAGAAAUGGAGUCUUUUCUUCUAUUAAAUUAUUUCUUGUUCAAAAUACAAGCAGGCGCCUGUGCUAUGACACUUGAGCCGGAUAUAUAGCAGCAUUGACUGCAUCAAUGGUUUAUUUGGAAGUCUGAGAUCUGGAGCUUUCUUAAAUCUUCAGCUCUAAACCUCACUACAGUUCACUAGAAACCUACACAUAUUCCUGCAGAGGUCUCAAGUACAUAUCAAAAUGACAGAAACAAUUUCAGCCAAGAAAUUAGCAAUUUCCUUCUUGAUUUAAGCAGGAAUUGAUAGCUUUGGAGAAAAGUGACAAUUCUUCUGAAUUUACACACACAUCCACACCAAUGAAGUUUGCCCCGAAUGCUCAUCACAUUUAGAGCUCGUCUAGUUUUCUGAGACAGACCUGGGAUGAAAGCAAGAAAAAAAAAAAAAAAAAAAAAGGCGAA